UACGUAGGGGGCAAGCGUUGUCCGGAAUCAUUGGGCGUAAAGAGCGUGUAGGCGGCCAGAUAAGUCCGCUGUGAAAUCUCGAGGCUCAACUUCGAGCUGUCGGUGGAAACUGUCUGGCUAGAGUCCGGAAGAGGAGAAUGGAAUUCCUGGUGUAGCGGUGAAAUGCGCAGAUAUCAGGAAGAACACCAGCGGCGAAGGCGGCGCUCUGGGCUGGCACUGACGCUGAGGAGCGAAAGCGUGGGGAGCGAACAGG
rnacentral:rRNA from 1 species